rnacentral:rRNA from 1 species
UACGGUAGGGUGCGAGCGUUUAAUCGGAAUUACUGGGCGUAAAGGGUGCGCAGGCGGUUAUAUAAGACCAGAUGUGAAAUCCCCGGGCUCAACCUGGGAACUGCGUUUGUGACUGGUAUGACUAGAGUACGGUAGAGAGGGGUGGAAUUCCUGGUGUAGCAGUGAAAUGCGUAGAUAUCAGGAGGAACAUCGAUGGCGAAGGCAGCCCCUUGGACCUGUACUGACGCUCAUGACA